UAUCUAUGACAUAUAUUAUGAUUUUAAAUUAUGAGUAACUCAUCUUUACAAUACAAAACUAACUUAUAAAGUUUGAUGUAUCUAUCUUUAUAAGCUCUUUUAAAGUCCUACCUAUUUUCAAUUUAAGACUUAAUUAGAUUUUUCAAACAAUAUAUCCAUCAAAGAAGGAAAAUGAACAACCUAUGAGAUCAUCACUUUUUAUAGGCGAUGCAAUUUAAUUUCAAGAACACGAGGAUAUCUGAUGUCGUUGUGCAAACUAAUUUAGCUCAAUUGUUGAGCUAAGGGACACAGAAGAAGUUAUGAUGAGGAUACAUGAAGUAAAGCCAAGGAAGGAAACAUAGAUGAUAUUAAGGUCUUGGAACUCCAAUGACAUUCAAGGUGAAUAACAUGCGCUCAUAUUUCAUAUUUUACAUAGUCUUGUUCAUUCUUGCUCUUAGUCGCCUCUCUCAAAUCUUAACUAUAUAUUCUCUUAUUCUUCCAUUGGUAGGCAUGGCAACGAGACUAGUUGGUGGCAAAUUUUGCCUCCCUCACCCCACACCCGCCUCCGUUUUUUAGCAAAUGUGAAAUUUAGAAACUCAUCUCUACUCGCAACGGGGUUCGGCUUUCCCCACCCACACCUUUUCACACACACAGAUAUAUAUAUAUCAUAGUUAAUAUAAUAAAAUAAUUAUUAUUAGACAAUAAUAUGAUUACAAAAUAUUUUCUAUAGAAAUUAGUUUAUAAUUUUUAAUAUUUUUAAAAAAUAUAGUAUAUUGAAUAUGUACAUGUAUAUAAAAUUUAAAAAUUACAAUAAUAUUACUAAUAGGGCGGGUGAGGGGUGGAUAUUAACAACCUCAAACCCGUCCUCGUGCCUCGAAUUUUAAUUUCGAGAAAAAUCCGCACCCGCAUCCGUACUCAAUCAAAGUGGGUUUUUGUUGUCCAAAUCAAGUCGGAUUCAGGUGGGUACCCGUGAGUGAGGAUUAUGUUGUCAUCCCUAUCCAUUGAGUGGGUGGUUUAAACCAUUGUUUGGUCUAAAAUCACAUCUCGAAAUCAUUUUUCUUUUAUUUUAUUUAAAUAAAUAGCUUCCACACAAAUUUAAUUUUUAUUUUGUAUUUUUUGUUAUAAUUUUGUCGUAUGAGUAUGACAUUUUUAUCUUCUCGUCUUGUGCUGCACUUUUCCCAUUUUUUUGUGGUGUUCGUUUUGAUUCAGAUUGACAAAGUAGCUUCGAACGAUAACAAAUUUUAAUCAAUAACUUUAUCGUCGUCAACGUUACAUAUCUGAAAGUAUAAGUAUUUCAGACUCUUAAAUUUUUUCAUAUUUGUAGACAUGCUCCUGUGUUGUCCUCUGUUGUCGGUUUAUGCUGUUGACUUUGAUGUUGUGAGUAUGUUUGCAGAUUUAUCCUUUAUGUUUUUAGCAGAUUUAAAUUUGUAUUACAUCGAUGUAUUCUAGAAUUUAAAUUAAUA
rnacentral:lncRNA from 1 species